rnacentral:rRNA from 1 species
GGCAACAGCUCAAAUUUGAAAGCUGGCCCUUUUAGGGUCCGCGUUGUAAUUUGUAGAGGAUGAUUCGGCGAGGGCUCCUGCCUAAGUCCCCUGGAACGGGGCGUCAUAGAGGGUGAGAAUCCCGUAUGCGGUAGGUUGCCUUAGCCAUGUGAAUCUCCUUCGACGAGUCGAGUUGUUUGGGAAUGCAGCUCUAAAUGGGAGGUAAAUUUCUUCUAAAGCUAAAUACUGGCCAGAGACCGAUAGCGCACAAGUAGAGUGAUCGAAAGAUGAAAAGCACUUUGGAAAGAGAGUUAAAAAGUACGUGAAAUUGUUGAAAGGGAAGCGCUUGCAACCAGACUUGUCCGCAGUUGCUCAGCCGGUCUCCUGACCGGCGUACUCUUCUGCGGCCAGGCCAGCAUCAGUUCGGGCGGUCGGAUAAAGGCCUCGGGAAUGUAGCUCCUCUCGGGGAGUGUUAUAGCCCGGGGUGGAAUGCGACCAGCCUGGACUGAGGAUCUCGCUUCGGC